GGACGCAGCGUUGACGCGUAAAAGGUGCUUACGUACUCGGCGAGCCUCCCCUCACAUGAUAACCGUCUGCUCCGCUCCUCUCCUUGCGCAGAGGCAGAGCCCCUCAUCCCAAAAGCAAACCCUAGGCUAGGCUAGCCUAGCCGCCAUGGCUCAGAGCCUUCUUUCCUCUGCUGAUACAUCUUAUUCAACCACUGUGCGCCUCCCUCCCUCGUCGCUUCCACUUGGUCUGUGGCUAACUCGGCCGGAUCUCGGGAGGCAGAUCAACUUUGGGUGGAUCCUGGCGAGGAGAUCCGUGUCUCGCGCCCUGCACGCAACUAGAUCCGGCGAUACGUCCAUGUCCCUUGUUGCCAACCGUGGGGACGUCGCUUGAAGCUGGUGAUGCAUCCUCUGUAUUAGGCCAUGGCGUUCUUUUUCCGGAGAAAGCUCCGGUGUGCUGGAAGCAGCGGGGGAGGCACACCGGACAGCUCGGCCGACGGGGAGGCCUCAAGUUGACGAGAGGACCGGCGCCGGGGAAGAGGAUUGAAGGGUCUCUUGGUCAGGUGAUGAAUUAUGUCUGUAUUUUCAGAUCUGCGCAAACGUUUCCUUGCCCAGCAGAUUUUUUACUAGUAUGGCUUACAUCUGGGUCGUGGUCUCCAUCCUUCCUCUCUGUUUUGCCCUCUCCUCAUGUCUUAGAUCCGUCUGUCGAGACCUGGUUUUUUCUUCGUUUGUUUUCUAGUCUUCGAGAAAUCGAGAGUUGCAAUCUUUGUUGGCUCACCAUCUCAGCCAAGAUUGCUUCUCUCAGAUCCCAUCGCCGCCGCCGUCUUGUGCGCUGAAGAAAUUUUCUGCAAGGGGCAACUUGAUUGGUGCUAGUCAUCCGUGGUCAGACCUGGUUUGUGAUUUGGAGGUGGUGAAUGAAGUAUUCGCAAAUAUAACUAGUAGAAAAGGUUAUUAAAUCAUAGAUCUAGAUAGUUAGACUUGUCUUCUAAUUCGAUGUCCAGUCAGUUUCGACUUGGUUUUCUCCUUCUGGACUCACGUUUGUUUUUUCAUCUUCGAGAGUUGCAAUCUUUGCUUGGCCAAAAGGCCACGUUGCAGCCGAAGCUACCUCUCUCGAAUCCCUUAGUUGUCCGAUCAACGCCGCUGUCUUGUGCACCUUUAUGCAGCCAGUGCAAGCCAGCAGUGUGGUCUCUGAAUUUCUUGUACGUCAGAAUUUGUAGGCCUCGGGCAAAAACUGAUCUGGAUUUAUCCCUCUUUCCCCAGUCGGUCAUUUCCAACAAAUUUUAUUAUACGGAUUUGCGAAAUACCCGCAGCUUUUUUUUGUCGAAAAUCAUUUUUUAUUGGAUUCAUAAAAGCCUCUUUGGAGCUAGUAGGUACCCUGCAUUCCAGAUCCUGGUGCUUGAGUCUACCCGUCGACGCCUUCCUCAAUCAAAGUCCAAAGGGCCAAAGUAGGACACCGGUGACCCAGCUUAUAUUUGCUUUGUAUAUGAAUAAGUGGUAUAACAGUUUCUGCAAUAAUCAUGGAUCUAGAUAGUUAGACCUGUCUUGCAAAUUUUUCGGUGAAAACGUGAUAAUUGAGAAAAGAUUCCUAGCUCUCCGAUUCUCUGUAUUACAUUAACAUACUUCUUCUGAUCUUUAAGCCAAUGUUUUUUUUACUUAAUAUGAUCUGAUUUGCCAAGUUCUAGAAAUUGGACCAUGUGGAGUUUCCCCCUGUUGGCCUUCUGUCUAAUGUGAAAAGAUUGUUGCUCCAUGAAAACGUAGGGAAGGGCAAGGUAUUGUGUUCUUUGGCAACAUAUCUCAUCCACUCAGCAUUUUUUUAUUUUUAGGACAUAUGUUUUUUUAUUACUUGUGGAUCGACAUAAUGUUUUUUUUUCCAUUACUUUUUGGGCGAAAAUCCUCAGCUAGUCAAUUUAUAAGAUGAAAAGUUGUUCUACAAUAAUAUAAGAUCAUUUUUCAAGCUAACAUUAGCUUGAAAAACAAUCUUAUAUUGUGGGACGGAGGGAGUAUCCGUUCAGGUGUAAUCUACGGUGAAUAGAUUGAGGGCACUUGGAUAUUGAUGUUUUCAGUUCUUUUGGUUGAUCAAACAGAACAAAGAAGAAGAGGGACCAACAAUCAUUCCCUGGUGCACUGUUGAAUGUACCUAUAUCUCCUAAGUGGUAUUUCAUUUGACUUUGUUAAUUGAUGAUAUUUCUUGGUCACAUAAUGCUUUCCUGUUGAACUAGGUCUUUAGGAUCAUGUGUUUGGUUAAUACAGGUUGUUUCUAAUAAGUAGGUUCAGUGUUGAAUGAAAAACAACAAUUCCCCAUUUUAUUCAAUGCAAUGCCCUCAGAACAAAGUUAUAAGCGUCCUCCCUUUAAUACUUCAGUCCUCGUAAAGCCCACUAUAGAGACUACUCCCACUGUUCCAAAAUAACUGAAAUUCAAGAUUUGUACUUGAGUCAAACUUCUUUAAGUUGAACCAAAAUUAUAUAGAUGAUAUUUUCUAUAAAUUAUUUUAUUCAGCAGCAUUAUGAAAUAGUUCCUUUUCUCAUGUACUCCCUCCAUUCCUAAAUAUAAGACUAAUUGAACUACCAAAACGUCUUAUAUUUAGGAACGGAGGGAGUAGUUUAUUUCCUGUGUAUCUCACUAGAAGUCCUACAUGUUGGACAAAAGUUCUAUACACCAUGUUUUAAUAUUAAAAAAACUACUUUAUUUUGCAGCACUAUAAAAUAUAGUUAACUCCAUGUAGCCAUUCCACCUUAAUGAAGAAAUAGAGCCAAGAACAGAAGUCCCCAUGAGAGCUAGUACGAUGCUAUUGCACGUCCAGCACCAACCAACAGAAUGAAACACCCUUAAAUAAAAUGGAUUUGCUAAUUAUCUUCUAGACGAGAAUUAACAGUCUCAUCUAACUCAAUACACUAUUUGAUUAAUCCAAAAAAAAAUCCCCAUGAAUCUCCAUGUAAAAUCCAAUAAUAUAGGAAUUGGAUGAGACAUACUCCCACUGUCCUAUAAUAUAAGACGUUCUUGCAAGCUAUUUUAGCUUAGGCUAGUCAUAGUGGGAGUAACAUAAGUAGUAACAUACAUGCCACAUAAGCAAAAAAAAUGAUGUGUCAUGCAAUUAAAGAGGAGAGAGACAAAUGGAGUAACAUAAUAUGUUACCAUCACAUAGCGCUUUUCAAUGCAAAAUGAGUCCACAAUGCAAUAAAUGUAUAUAUGCAUGUUACUACACCUAUGACACUUCCCACUAUGGAGGUAACAUACAUAUGUUACUAGUCUAAGUUACUCCCCACUAUGACUAGCCUUAUAAAAACGUCUUAUAUUAUGAGGCGGAGGGAGUAGUUAUUUCUCAUCCGGCUGAGAGCUCAGCAUGCUAAAUAAAAUGUUGUUUUGUAGGUUUAUAAUAAGUAGGUUUUACUUUGUUCUAGUCAGUAUUCAGUGUAUUGUAAUUUAUAAAAAGCAAUAAUAACUUUGAUGCUUAUCGAUUGACUUUAGCAACACAGGAAAUUUAGCAUGUUUCAAAACCUGUUUAAAUGUGUACUCUUUUUUAUGACUUUAGCAACACAGGAAAUUUCCUCAGUGAUCCUAUUCUUUUCUUUUUUACAAAAACGAGUGAGUUUUCCAGUGUCAGACUAUAGGAUAGACUUAUAAAUUUCAAAAGAGGAACAGCAAGGUUUUUCCUACAAUAACAGUGAGUUUUGCAGUGUCUGGCUAUAAUAUACUAGUACUUCCUUGCCCAGGCAACACAACUUUUCCUCAGUGGUUCUAUUUAUUCAAAAGAGGAACAGGAGCUUUUUAGUUAGGAAGCUACAGAAAUCAACCAGUUAUUAUCUGAAGCAGCAGAAAUUUGGCACAGAUAGUAUCUGGCCAGCAUGAUAGGGUCAAUUUGCCUAACCCAGAUGAGACAGACCAGCAUGCUUAAACUAAUUUGAAGGCAGAAUUAAUUAUGAUGGCAAUACAAAACUAGUUGUAACCAUCUUGUCAAAGUAUGGCAGAAGCACACAGUUGACGAUUCCAUGCACAUGAUUUAUGAAGAAGCAAGUCUACUUGACUUUCUAAUUGAGUGCCCUUUCUACUCUUAGAAAGGGAGUACUUAACAUUUAAAGCUCAAUGUUCAAUGGCAGGUUUAGCUAGAAAGCUAUUCAGAGAACAGAAAAACAGUUUGAUGGACAGACAAAUAGGCAUUGCAGAGCACAGGAUAUGUUAUCAAACCAUGGCCACGAUUUGGACCAACAACCAAAGUACAGGCACCGGCACCACCGACGAAUCAAUUUAUUAUUACAGAGGAAGAUGCAAAAUUCUUUGACUGUCCAAGCCACGAGUCGUAAGAACAGGGCAGAUCGGCGCUAAUAUAGUACCUCAUUUGUGGGCCGGCUUCUCGGACUUGGCCUUGGAGGAGGCCGUCCCCUUGUUCGCCUCCUUAGACCGCUUCCGAUCCUUCCCGCUCUGAUUGUCCUUCCUUUGUUGCUGAUCCCCUGGCGAGAUUCUGGGCGAGCUUUAACUCCUUGUCCCGCGCUGCCUUGCACGCUGGCCGGUGCAUGUACGUGAAGUAGAAGACGUAGCCUCCGAUGUCCUUGCGGCAGAACUCGCACCACCGUACGGCGAUCUCAUCUUCCCCCGCGCCGCCACCACCGCCAGCCCCCUCCCCCUCUCCGCCCCCACCGCCAGCGCCAGCCUCAGCCACGCCACCUGCCAUCGCCUUCUGCUGCUAUGUCGGAUCCCCUCUCUCUCCUCGCACCAAAUCGCCCUCCGCCGCUUCUCAAGACCUCCUCGGGAAACCCUUGCUGCUCCUUCACAACGAUAGAGGAGAUGGGGGCAGGUGACCUGGGUAGUAGCGGGCCUGGAAGCCUAUUUUCUGUUGGGCUGGGCCCAUGUAUAUGUGCCUGUGUGUUGUGGAAAUACAUUUUUUUGAUAGAAGAAGAAUUAAAAAUGUAUCCUUCUAAAAAAAGAUAGAACAAUUAUAUAUGUAUUUUGUAUAAGAUGUGUGAUUAAAUAAAUUAUUUAUUUGGUAGAACAAUCAUAUAUGUAUUUUUGGCGGGUGAAUUAUAUAUUUAUUUUGCAGAAAUAUACUAUGUGUGAUUAAAUGAAAAAUUUGUUUGAAGAAUUAUAUAUGUAUUUUGCAGAAAUACAUGUGUGAUUAAAUAAAUAAAUAAUUUUACA